UACAGAGGUCUCAAGCGUUGUUCGGAUUCAUUGGGCGUAAAGGGUGCGUAGGUGGCGCGGUAAGUCGGGGUGUGAAAUCUCGGAGCUUAACUCCGAAACUGCAUUGGAUACUAUCCGGCUAGAGGAAUGGAGGGGAGACUGGAAUACUUGGUGUAGCAGUGAAAUGCGUAGAUAUCAAGUGGAACACCAGUGGCGAAGGCGAGUCUCUGGACAUUUCCUGACGCUGAGGCACGAAAGCCAGGGGAGCAAACGGG
rnacentral:rRNA from 1 species